rnacentral:rRNA from 1 species
UACGUAGGGUGCGAGCGUUGUCCGGAAUUAUUGGGCGUAAAGGGCUCGUAGGCGGUUUGUCGCGUCGGGAGUGAAAUCCACUGGCUUAACUGGUGGCUUGCUUUCGAUACGGGCAGACUGGAGGUAUGCAGGGGAGAACGGAAUUCCUGGUGUAGCGGUGAAAUGCGCAGAUAUCAGGAGGAACACCGAUGGCGAAGGCAGGUCUCUGGGCCACUACUGACGCUGAGAAGCGAAAGCGUGGGGAGCAAACGGG